UUCUUUUGAAUCACAAACAGAAUAUCCCUUCAGCCACCAGUAUCUCAAACCCUUGGUAAAACCAGCUCCUGGCUAAAUUCAUCACAAGCCACAGGUUGUGUUUUAUGGUCUACGGUUGAUUUAUGGGUACAAAAACAAAAAGUCAGUGCAGCGUGGCUCUUGCAGCGCUCUUCUUGUGGCAACACUUCACAACGCAGACCAAGCCUCUCCCAGCUGAAGAACAAAAACUUAUCGUUACAGGAGCAGAAACAAAGCAUUAUGCACACCUUGCUGCUUCCAUUACCUCAGGUACAGACGCCCCCCAAAAUAUGUAUUAUUCUCUAGGAAAACUCAGCUCAGAUUCCGUCUGUGGUUUUCACCAAGAAUACUGCUUUUCCCUUCUUCCCGCACAACUUUCCAGCCAGAUUGACUGAACUGCAGAAAGGUCAGAUGACUUACUUGGAGGUCCCUUCAGAUUGUCAUCGAGUUGCCCUCAAUUUGAGCUGAAGAGAGGUCUGGUCCCUAUACUGCAGCCGGAGACACAGAGAUCGGGUUUCCAGAACGCUAGCAAUCCCCAGCUUGCCGCAAAGUCAGAUGGAGACGAGUGGCCACGGAGACCACUCAGGAAGAAAAAGGAAAUAAAGAAGAGUGACAGUUUGCAGGGGAAGAGUCAUGUGAAACAUCAGCAGAGCAGCAUCAGCGGUGGCACAGAGGGAAAAGCCCCACUACAGAAGUGCCCCCAGAUGGUCACGCGCCAAUGUCCGUGACCUCGUGAGCAGCAGCAACUCAGGUUAAGCGUGUGCUUUGCAGAUGGACAAAGCCCAGUCUGUGUACAGGUUUUUUCCUUGUGGCUGUAAAAUUCAGAGGUGGGAGAGAAACCUGGGCUGUAUCAUAGACUGCCGGUGGUCCGCCCCCUCCACCCAGCGCUGCAGACCGUCCAAAACAUUGUCAUUGCACCCCAGAAGGCAAGCAGGCCUGGGAUAGAUCCAGAACGGAUUACAACAUAAUCCAAUUCACAGGGAGGGGUAUUUUUGAAAGAGGAUUAUGUGUUUUGUUUUGUUUUGUUUUGUUUUUUCCCAUCUGGCUGCCUUCCAGAAAAUAAAUAAAUGCUGUAAUUCUCAUGUAAUGUUUUUAGAAGGCAUGGCGAUGGAAAGAGAAGGCUCUUUUCCAUGUCCAUGUAAGAGAGCGGGAGGAAGAAAGCUGAUUUUUUGCAGCAGUGUGCCAAGCAAUCUCAGGAUAUGCGAGUCAGAAAUGCUGGUGUUUCCCACUGCGCAUUCAAGAACAGCAUGAAACUGAAGAAAACGGUGCUGCAUUUCUAAUCAGAACAAUGUAAUACGGGUGUUGGGUCUGCAUCCCAUCAUCAAAAGGCCUCCUCCUGAACCCUUUAUGACCUUCAGAGAGGUUUGCAUAAUUAUCUUGAUUAAAGGCACAGCACAAUUUUAGCACCAAAGCCCACAAAUUACCAAGGCCCGCAUGUUUUGCAAAAUAAUACCGUUCAUGUGAUUAUUUGUUUUGCUCUAAUCAUUUCUGAAAUAUUACUCCAUUGCUUAGAUUUGAAUUGCUGGUUGUAACAGAUAGCCAGUUUGCAAAUAAAAUAUAAGU